rnacentral:rRNA from 1 species
UACGUAGGUGACAAGCGUUGUCCGGAUUUAUUGGGCGUAAAGGGAGCGCAGGCGGUUGGAAUAGUCUGAUGUGAAAGCCCACGGCUUAACCGUGGAAGGUCAUUGGAAACUGUCCAACUUGAAUACAGGAGAGGUAAGUGGAAUUCCAAGUGUAGCGGUGAAAUGCGUAGAUAUUUGGAGGAACACCAGUGGCGAAGGCGACUUACUGGUCUGUAAUUGACGCUGAGGCUCGAAAGCGUGGGUAGCAAACAGG